rnacentral:rRNA from 1 species
UACGGAGGGUGCAAACGUUGCUCGGAAUCAUUGGGCGUAAAGCGCACGUAGGCGGCCUGUUAAGUCGGGUGUGAAAGCCCUGGGCUCAACCCAGGAAGUGCACUCGAAACUGACGGGCUUGAAUAUGGAAGAGAGUCGCGGAAUUCCCGGUGUAGAGGUGAAAUUCGUAGAUAUCGGGAGGAACACCAGUGGCGAAGGCGGCGACCUGGGCCAAUAUUGACGCUGAGGUGCGAAAGCGUGGGGAGCAAACAGG